rnacentral:antisense_RNA from 1 species
UUUUAUGGUGGCUGUGCACGGGGCGCCUUCGGGUGCGCCGGUUGCUUGACGUCCCGGUCGACUAACCCGCUGCACAGCUACCACCCUU